rnacentral:lncRNA from 1 species
GCCCUCUCUCGCUGCCCCGACCAGAACAGCACAGCAGCGGCCGAGGCCACCGCGUCGCCGCCCCUGUCUCCUCCCUCGCCGCCCCUGCUUCUCUCCCCUCUUUUCUGUUUUUAACCCUCUUCCCACCUGUUCUAUUUCCUUUUCCAUGUAAUUAAUAUUAUUCAUUCCAUUUGAUUAUGCAUCUGCUUUGUAAUGAUUUUUCUAAAG